AACGAGGCCGACCUGCGGCUGAGUUACCUGCGGAGGGAUCAUUAUAGAGUUUUCUAAACUCCCAACCCAUGUGAACUUACCUUUUGUUGCCUCGGCAGAAGUUAUAGGUCUUCUUAUAGCUGCUGCCGGUGGACCAUUAAACUCUUGUUAUUUUAUGUAAUCUGAGCGUCUUAUUUUAAUAAGUCAAAACUUUCAACAAUGGAUCU
rnacentral:misc_RNA from 1 species